rnacentral:lncRNA from 1 species
AAUAAUGAUAUAAAAUAUUUACGUAUACUACAGUUUAUGUUGCACCAAACAUAAUGUUAUAUUACAGCUUGAUACACCUCAAUGCAAUAUACCAUAAUGCAAUACAGUUAAUGCAAUACAAUAUAAGGUACUAAACACGCCCUUACUGCAAAAGAGUUGGUAAUUCAAUGAUAAUUUCUAAUAAUAUAUUUGGUUAAUUAAAAAAUUUUCAAAAAAUGAAAUGAAAAACUUCUGAUCUUAACAAUUUGAUAAUUAUAUUUGACAGUUAUCAAAAGAGCAAAAGAGCACCCAGCUUUAAAAUUAAUAUUAAUGUGGAAAGGCUACCAAAUAUAUGUUUGCCUUUAAUUAGCUACAUAGGCCGCGAGGGUGCCAACCAGUCAGAAAAAUAGACUCCCAAAGCUUUAAACUCAAAAAAGUAGGCUAUAAUUUCAAUAAUUAAUAUUUCCAAAGAAAUUAAAAGUUCAGGGAACUAGUUAAAAUUCAAUAUUUGUUUUCUCAUGAAUGCAUGCAAAUGCGUAAAUUUUGCCAUAUAUAGAUGAUGUGCAAUCCACUCAAGAACUUUGUAUGGAGUGUAAUUUGAAUUCCGCCUAUAACUUAUUCCAAACGAGUUCUAUAUUCUCGGUGGAUUAAUUGCUGCCAUAAAAUGAUUCAUCAUUCUUAGAAGGUAAUGUGGUCAUGGACAAAAAUGCCCAAUUUGGGUCCAAGUUUCUCUUCUACAAUCUGGUGGAGCAUCUCUCUUCCAGAAUUUAGGGGUAGGCAAAGUGCAAAUUAAUAUUUUUAGUCUCUAUAUCUCAUAGGUAAAAUUUAAAUUAAUAUUUUUAAUCUCUAUAUCUCUUUUAGAGAUGAGCUACAAGUCAUGCCAGACCAGCAUGAUCCAUUUGAAGUAGCCUCACGAGGGCACGUGUGCCGACAUGGCAUAGUCUAUUAAGUUUGCUGAGCUGUGCUGCGUCGAAUUUUUGGGAGGUUGGCCACUUGACCUGACAUGAGACAUGUACCGGGCUAGCCCACUUAUUUUUUUUUUCAAAUUAUUUUACUUUUCCUUAAAAAAUAGAGUUAAACUUUCAGAUAUAACGGGACUCGAACUCAUGUUCAUUAUAAACUUAUUUUAAGAAUGGGACUUGAAUUCAAGCUCAUUAUUUUGUCUUCAGCCAUUGAUCCAGAGCACUUUCGUGUUCAUUUCAUGUAAAUAUAGAUUAAUUUUUUAAACAUCAAUCAUCCAAAUUCAUAUAUUAUAUUAAGCAAUAUUAAUUAGAUAAAUUAUAAUACUUCCCGUAAUUUUUUUUGAAUUGCAUUAAAUAAUUGAUUAGAAAUAUAUUUCAAAAUUUAUUACAUUUGACUAACAUAAAGGAUCCGCCUACCGUGCAACAGUUACACGGUACUCCACUUUUUGUCUUUUUUCAACUCAGCUCAUGGAGUAAUGGCUAAAGUGUUCAACCGGCAGGAUGUGUUCAAUUGGUUAUUAACACUUAAGUCCCUACUGUUUAUUACAAAAUCAUAAAAGUUAAAAGUUUUUAAAUAUUCACUUACAUAAUUUCUGUUGUUUUAAAUUUUUUAAAGUUUGAUCCAUUGACUUAAUUUGAUCAUAAAAAUGAUUGAUAGUGUAAAUAUAAUAAUGUAAUAUCACAUAAA